CAGUCGCCGCGGUAAUACGGAGGGUGCAAGCGUUAAUCGGAAUUACUGGGCGUAAAGCGCACGCAGGCGGUUUGUUAAGUCAGAUGUGAAAUCCCCGAGCUUAACUUGGGAACUGCAUUUGAAACUGGCAAGCUAGAGUGUGGCAGAGGGGGGUGGAAUUCCGCGUGUAGCAGUGAAAUGCGUAGAUAUGCGGAGGAACACCGAUGGCGAAGGCAGCCCCCUGGGCCAACACUGACGCUCAUGCACGAAAGCGUGGGGAGCAAACAGGAUUAGAUACCCCUGUAGUCCCUGUCUCUUAUAC
rnacentral:rRNA from 1 species